CGUGGGGCUGAAGGGAAUGGGGUCGUGGGAGGAAAGGAAGGCUUAGUCUCGGAGGAAAGCGUGGGGGUGGGGAGGAAGUAUAAUUACGAAAACGUCUCUCCUUGGGUCACUUCUGUUGGGGGAUGGGAAACGCAGAUGUACUUUAAAGAAAUGAGGUUUAAAGCUAGAAACAGAACCCUUGUGGCGAAUGAGGUGUAUCUUAUGUUUCGGUGGAAUCGGUGCAAAUUAGGGGUGGGGGAGAGUGACUUCAGGCGCUUUGGUUCUGCUUCUAAAAGAAGAAUUCUUGUUUGAGGGUCAGAAUUGACCAGAGACGCUCCCGCAGAUGUCAUGGCGCUUCCUAUUCUCGGUGCUUAAAAACUUCAGCUGUAAGAGAAAGGCUCUUGGGUUUUCUAGGGGGAAGAAUCAUAAGAAACUCAUAGGGGAGAUCAUUGAAAUCUGGCGGGUCCCGAAUAAUUGGGAGUCGGUGUAGAAGUCUCCUGGCGGCUGAAAUGUAGUGAAUGAGCCUAGUCAAAACUUCAUCGACUCUGGGCAGGUUACACAAGAGUGAUACCCAACUCCUGUGACAACACUUACUGAUUUAAAAGCUCUAGAGAGGCAAUAUAAUUAAGAAUGUGAACUUUGGGGUAAAAAUACUCCAGUUAGAGUUCUAGGAGUGGACAAGUUAUUUGUAUGCCUCUCUAAAAUGAAUACUUGUUAUGUAUGAACAAUAGUUGAGUGCCUAGUAUGUUCUAGACACCAGGGAUGCAGCAGUGAGCAAAACUAGGUUUCUAGAUUUUAUUUUAGGAUUAAAGAGGAUAAUGUGUGACUUUGAACAGGCCCCUAGCACAUGGCACUCAGAUUAUUAUUACUGCUAUUUAAUAUCACUAUUUUUAAUCCUCAGAAACUUUAAUUAAAGAACUUCCCUGGUUUAGUUCUUUCAUUAAUACCAGAUUGUCUUCUGUUGUAAAUAUUUUGAAAAUAUGCGUAAUACAGAAACUGGAUAUAAUAGUUUCCAAAUUGGAGAAAGUGUUUAUGUGGGACUGUUAAUUCAACCUAUAGAAAGUUUUUGAAAGGCACGUGGCUUGGUAUCUGGCUGUUAGUGUCAGAAUCACAGGAUGAAACUUGAAGAAAAACAAAACAAAAAAUCCAAGAUCCAAACAGAAUUUUAGUGAGUAGAGAGGUAAUGGGAAAUGGCUCAUUUAGGGACCUCUGUUCUAGAAAUAUGAGGUCAAGUAGGCAUUGAUGUUAGUAUAGUAUUUCUUGUGUCAUGUAUCUCUUUGUUUUGAAUUUACUGUCUGAAGCCCCCAAAUUCCAAACAUUAAGAUGUCCGUAUUCGUUGUUGAUACUUUAUUGAAAUGUUUAUCAUUGGGAUAUUUUUAGCCAUUAGUAGUCAUCUGGUCAAGCCUUAGGAUUUGUUUUUUCCUAAAGCUACGUUGCAGUAUUUUGAGUAUUUCUUAGACCAGGCAGCCUUAUCAAAUAAUCUUACUUGGUUUUCUACUAUAUUAUUUAUUUAAUAAGCUGUAGUAUGGUUUUAUAGGGCUAUUUAUUAAACAACAAGAAUCAAAAAUGGGAACUCCCAAGUUGAUUAGUGGUGUUUGAGGACCAUAGACUAUUUUACUACUCCUAUUAAACAGAAUAACUAUGGUGCUUGUAUUUUGGGGAAGUUUAAAAAGAACUUUACAUAAAAUAUGUGAGCCGAGCCUAGAGGAUUAAUGUUUUGAGUGUUUGCAAUGUGUCAGAACUAUUUGAGACACCUGUAUUAACUCAUUUAAUAUUACAACAACUCAAGGAAGUAGGUACGAUUAAAUUGUUACCCCAUUCUGUACCUGAGGCACAGAAAGGUCAAAAAACACCCAGAGUUAUACCAUGGCAGAAUUGGGAUUUGAACCUGCACAGUCUGGCUCCACAAUGUGUCUUAACUGUUCUGUCAUCCUUUAGGUUUUUGAUAAUCAAAAAGGUUUUCUUUUGCAUUAUUGUACUGCUAAUAAUAGUUAGGACUUAGCAUUUACUAUGUACCAAGCACUGUUCCUAAGCCCUUUAUAAGAAUCAACUCAUUAAUCCUCACAACAGUUCUCUUGAGAUAGAUGCUCUUUACCAUUCAAUAUUAUACAUAAGGAAACAGGCACAGAGAGGUUAAGUUCCUUGUCUAGUCACACGGCUAGUUAAGUGACUAAGAGAUCAGAUAGUCUACCUCAAGAGCUUAAGUUCUUAAACUCCAUGCUGUUCUGCUAUUCUGAACCAUUUCGAUUUCUGUUCCAUCAAAUGAAUGAAUGUUACUUGGUCUUGCUACCUGAGAUAAGCUAUUGCUUUCCUUUCCCAGUUCACAUUUAAAUAAUUGGGAUUUGACUUUACUCUUACUCUCAGGUUAUAGCUAACUUGUGAACUAAGCCGUUCACUAACCUAAGUUUUGAAAGUAGGAGUGAGUUUCUUUUUGAUUAAUCUCUUCAGGGACUAUGGGAACUACCAGGUGCCAACUAAUUGCUAGGGGUAUCUUAAAAUACACUUAUCCCCAAAGAGCCUGUAGGCUGGAUACAUGGUUUUGCAGGGGUUUCUUUAAGACCCUCAAGGUGCUUCUGUAGCCAGCUAAAUUUGUGGGAUGGUUGUGUGACUCAUGGAUGCUAAUCACGGUGACCUUGGUGUUUAAUUUUAUUAAGAGUGACUUUAACAUUGCUUUUAUCAUCCUCAUCUGCAGUAUUGUAGUUUUCGUUGUUCCUACAAAUACAAAGUUGAAUACUCUUACUAGAACUAGGGGGAAAACUACUACUUGUAUCUGUUGUUAGGUUAUAUGUUACUUAAUUCAAGGAUUCAGUACCCCUUGUCAGUCUAAUACACAGUCAAUUCUUGAAAAUUUUCCAAAUCCUUUUGACUAUAAUGAUCCUUUUCUAGUAAAGAAGAUACUAGCUUUCUACUACUGACAUAAAAGUUUUCAGAUUAAAGUCUCUAAUCUUAGAUUGGGUUUUGCAUUGUAUAUUUGUGGGUUUUGACAUGAGUUGCAUUUAUGUAUCAGGAUAUUGAGCAGAGAUCUUAAAAAAUAUAGUAUAUGGGAUCUUAGCAGAUUUAUGGAAUCAUUUUCUCUGGGAACAGGCAUAAUUUUGAAAUGUCCCCUAGGUGAUUCUGAGGCCUGCCUCUGGUUAAGACCCACAGACCUAGGGAUACUCAUUUAAUCAAUACUUCGGUUUUGCUCUGUUUGGCACAGUAGGCUAGUCCCAGGAGAUAAAAAAUAAGGAAGCCUUGUCAUUACCCAUGAGAAUCUCUGCUUUGAGUGGAAGAAACAAGCACAUAAACACAACGAAUAGGUGUUUGUCACUUUGCACAACUUAGCUUUCAAGAAUAUAAAUCAAGUAUGAGAAACACUUACUGAAAAGAAAUUAAAAGGGAAUCUUUAGUCAUAUUGUCAGAUUUACCCAUUAUUAUUAAAGGUAGUUUAAAUAUUUUACCUAUACUAGAUUUUGUCAUUUUAGAGUGGUUUUUCUAACUAUACUUAAUUCUCAGUGUCGAACUAUUUUGAAAUUAGCAAAGUUAAAGUAUUUUCAUUCUUUAACUGGAAAAUUUGUGUUCUUGAUUUGGUUUUGCUACAACAGCAAUGAUCUUAUUUGAAAAUUGAACAGUGUAAUUAAGAACAGAUGCGUUUAGUGAAUAACUUACUAGCCAAGUUAACCUUGGUAGAUAAGAUUCUCAAAACUACCCUCUGCCUUGUUAUUUGGGGAAGAGAAAAAUUCAAUAAAGUGUUCUAUACUUUCCCUUAAACAUUGAUUUUUAUCUCCAAUACUUUCAACAUAAUCUUGUAUCAUUCAGACUUUGAACUUUUCAUAGCUGGAUUUGUCAUAUUUUGGCCUUGUAGGUUUCAUUUGUGAAUCACUACUUGGUUACUUACUCAUUUUUAGGAUAGAGUACUUGUUCACAUUCAUCCUAGCCUUGUUAUCAUUUCAAAGCUAAUGUAUAAUUGGAUGUUUUCCACCACUGGACUGCUGUUAAUUUU